GACGAACGCUGGCGGCGUGCCUAAUACAUGCAAGUCGAGCGAAGUUUUUCUGGUGCUUGCACCGGAAAAACUUAGCGGCGAACGGGUGAGUAACACGUAAAGAACCUGCCUCAUAGACUGGGACAACUAUUGGAAACGAUAGCUAAUACCGGAUAACAGCAUUAACUGCAUGGUUGAUGUUUAAAAGUUGGUUUUGCUAACACUAUGAGACGGCUAUGCGGUGCAUUAGCUAGUUGGUGGGGUAAAGGCCUACCAAGGCGACGAUGCAUAGCCGACCUGAGAGGGUGAUCGGCCACACUGGGACUGAGACACGGCCCAGACUCCUACGGGAGGCAGCAGUAGGGAAUCUUCCGCAAUGGGCGAAAGCCUGACGGAGCAACGCCGCGUGAGUGAAGAAGGAUUUCGGUUCGUAAAGCUCUGUUGUUAGGGAAGAAUGAUUGUGUAGUAACUAUACACAGUAGAGACGGUACCUAACCAGAAAGCCACGGCUAACUACGUGCCAGCAGCCGCGGUAAUACGUAGGUGGCAAGCGUUGUCCGGAAUUAUUGGGCGUAAAGCGCGCGCAGGUGGUUUAAUAAGUCUGAUGUGAAAGCCCACGGCUCAACCGUGGAGGGUCAUUGGAAACUGUUAAACUUGAGUGCAGGAGAGAAAAGUGGAAUUCCUAGUGUAGCGGUGAAAUGCGUAGAGAUUAGGAGGAACACCAGUGGCGAAGGCGGCUUUUUGGCCUGUAACUGACACUGAGGCGCGAAAGCGUGGGGAGCAAACAGG
rnacentral:rRNA from 1 species